rnacentral:rRNA from 1 species
UGGUGCAUGGUUGUCGUCAGCUCGUGUCGUGAGAUGUUGGUUAAGUCCCGCAACGAGCGCAACCCCUAUUGUUAGUUGCCAUCAUUCAGUUGGGCACUCUAGCGAGACUGCCGGUAAUAAACCGGAGGAAGGUGGGGAUGACGUCAAAUCAUCAUGCCCCUUAUGACCUGGGCUACACACGUGCUACAAUGGUUGGUACAACGAGUUGCGAGUCGGUGACGGCGAGCUAAUCUCUUAAAGCCAAUCUCAGUUCGGAUUGUAGGCUGCAACUCGCCUACAUGAAGUCGGAAUCGCUAGUAAUCGCGGAUCAGCACGCCGCGGUGAAUACGUUCCCGGGCCUU